CGCCUGCACGCGCCGCCGCUGCGCCUGCCCGACGCCGCGCCGUUCGCGUGGUCGGCGGCCGAGCUGGUGCUGGAGAGCACCAUGGAGCUGGAGAUGUUCGUGACGAACGUGACGCAGCCGGCGCCCGACCCCGCGCUCUCCUACAUCGCGCCGGCGGGAGGGCGCGCGGCGGUGCGCUUGGGCCGGCAGGCGGUGGGCGCAGUGCGGUACGCGCCCGAGCUCAGCUGCCACCCCGACUGCUACACCGGCCUCGACUUCGACUCUCCCGAGGGGCGGGCGUGGCUGAGCCGGCUGGCGGCGUGCGGCGCGG